AUUGAACGCUGGCGGCAGGCCUAACACAUGCAAGUCGAACGAGUGGCGGACGGGUGAGUAAUGUCUGGGAUACUGCCUGAUGGAGGGGGAUCACUACUGGAAACGGUAGCUAAUACCGCAUACAAUCGGAUGUGCCCAGCUGGGCUUGGCUAGUAGGUGGGGUAAAGGCUAACCUAGGCGACGCUCCCUAGCUGGUCUGAGAGGAUGCCCGGCCAAACUGGCACUGAUACACGGUCCAGACGCCAACGGGAAGCGUCCGUGGGGAAGAUUGCACAAUGGGCGCAAGCCUGAUGCAGCCAUGCGGCGUGUAUGAAGAAGGCCUUCGGGUUGUAAAGUACUUUCAGCGGGGAGGCGUUACCCGCAGAAGAAGCACCGGCUAACUCCGUGCCAGCAGCCGCGGUAAUUC
rnacentral:rRNA from 1 species